ACGCUCGACACCUACGGGAGGAGCAGUGGGGAAUAUUGCACAAUGGGGGAAACCCUGAUGCAGCGACGCCGCGUGAGCGAAGAAGUAUCUCGGUAUGUAAAGCUCUAUCAGCAGGGAAGAAGAUGACGGUACCUGACUAAGAAGCACCGGCUAAAUACGUGCCAGUAGCCGCGGUAAUCUGAGCGGGCUGGCAAGGC
rnacentral:rRNA from 1 species